CCCACCCCAAAUUCACAUGUUGAAGCCCUAACCUCCAAUGUGAUGGUAUUUGGAGAUGGGGCCUUUGGAAGGUAAUUAAGGCUAGAUAGGGUCACAAGGUUGGUCCCCUUAUGAUGGCAUUUGUGUUCUUAUACAAAGAGACAGGAGACUCUCUCCAUCAUGUGAAGAUACAGCAAAACAGCAGCUGUCUGCAAGCCAGGAAGGGAACCCUCACCAGGAACCAAACCAUGAUCUCGGACGUCCCAGCCUCUAGGAACGCCUUUCCAUCUUCCUAGAGUGCCUAACCUGGCCUGUGUGCUUGUAAGCUUCUGCUCAUUCUUCAAUACCCAGCAGAGACUUCCUCCUCCAUGCAGCCUUCCAAGACCCACCUGAGUACAGAUCAGAUACCAUCAGCAUAAUGUCAUCAAUGCAGUGGACCAGUGUGACAUGGGGAACAUAAAGAUGGUCACGAUUUUUGCAGACUCCAUAUGCAAAGUAUUAUAGGCCUUUCCAUCUAUCCGGAGUGACCUACCAGAGACAGGACAGUUUGACCAGCAAGCUUCUGAUCACUCUUCAACACCCAGCAAGAAGUCUUAUCCUCCAUGCAGCCUUCUAAGACCUCUCUAAGCACAGGUAUCAGAUCCUCCUCUGGAUCACUCUGUCUUGUUACUGCAUUUAUCUCACUGGAUUUCAGUGACGUGUGUAGACAACUAAUUUGUGCCUGCCUGAUCUGUGAGCUCUUCAUUCAAAGCAGUUGGCUCCUGAGUACAGGAUAAACCCCUAGAAUUGAAUAAAUUUGGUCUUACCUCA
rnacentral:lncRNA from 1 species